rnacentral:rRNA from 1 species
UCACUAAGAGAUGGUCCCGCGGUGCAUUAGUUAGUUGGUGAGGUAAUGGCUCACCAAGACGAUGAUGCAUAGCCGAGUUGAGAGACUGAUCGGCCACAAUGGGACUGAGACACGGCCCAUACUCCUACGGGAGGCAGCAGUAGGGAAUCUUCCACAAUGGGCGAAAGCCUGAUGGAGCAACGCCGCGUGUGUGAUGAAGGGUUUCGGCUCGUAAAACACUGUUGUAAGAGAAGAAUGACAUUGAGAGUAACUGUUCAAUGUGUGACGGUAUCUUACCAGAAAGGAACGGCUAAAUACGUGCCAGCAGCCGCGGUAAUACGUAUGUUCCAAGCGUCAUCCGGAUUUAUUGGGCGUAAAGCGAGCGCAGACGGUUAUUUAAGUCUGAAGUGAAAGCCCUCAGCUCAACUGAGGAAUUGCUUUGGAAACUGGAUGACUUGAGUGCAGUAGAGGAAAGUGGAACUCCAUGUGUAGCGGUGAAAUGCGUAGAUAU